AUGGCGGGGAGGGGCUACCAGGGCCGCGGCGCGGGCGGCGGCGCCGGCGCCGGCGCCGGCGUGUCCAUGGCGGUGGUGAGCACGCCCAGCCAGGAGCUGGCGCUCACCAACUGCGCCUACGUCUCCCCCGCCGACAUCCGCCGCUUCCCCACCGCCCUCGCCCUCGUCGGCGACGUCCUCGUCUUCGCCCUGCGUGCCCACGAUGCCGUUGCUACUGGAAGCAUCGCCUUGAAUGCCAUUCAGCGUCGACAGGUGAAGGUUUCGGCUGGGGAUUCUAUUACCGUUAGCAGUUUUGCUCCUCCUGAUGAUUUCAAGCUGGCAUUGCUCACAUUGGAGCUAGAGUAUACUAAGGCAAGGUCCAACCGAGCUGAGGAUCUGGAUGCAGUCUUGCUUGCCCAACAACUCCGGAAGAGAUUUCUGGAUCAGGUCAUGACAAGUGGGCAACGAGUGCCAUUUGAAUUUUAUGGAACAAACUACAUAUUCAGUGUCAAUCAAGCUUUGCUAGAGGGUCAAGAAAGUUCCACGCCGUUGGACAGAGGAUUCCUGUCAAGUGAUACAUACAUCAUAUUUGAGGCGGCUCCUAAUUCAGGAAUCAAGGUUAUCAACCAAAAGGAAGCAGCUAGCAGCAAGCUUUUCAAAGAUAAAGAGUUUAACUUGGAAAAAUUGGGGAUAGGUGGGUUAAGUUCUGAAUUCACAGACAUUUUCCGUAGGGCAUUUGCUUCAAGGGUGUUUCCUCCUCAUGUUGUCAGCAAAUUGGGCAUUAAACACGUAAAGGGUAUGUUGCUAUAUGGGCCUCCUGGUACUGGCAAGACCCUCAUGGCCCGUCAGAUUGGAAAACUGUUGAAUGGAAAGGACCCGAAGAUUGUGAAUGGACCUGAAGUGUUGAGCAAAUUUGUUGGAGAAACAGAGAAGAAUGUGAGAGAUUUGUUUCUUGAUGCUGAAAAUGACCAGAAGGCACAAGGUGAUCACAGUGACCUCCAUGUUAUCAUUUUUGAUGAAAUUGAUGCUAUCUGCAAGUCUAGAGGAUCUAGCAGAGAUGGUACAGGCGUACAUGAUAGCAUUGUAAACCAGCUGCUUACAAAGAUAGAUGGUGUUGAGGCGUUGAAUAACGUGUUGCUUAUUGGAAUGACCAACCGUAAGGAUUUACUUGACGAAGCUUUAUUGAGACCAGGACGACUGGAAGUUCAUAUCGAGAUAAACUUGCCUGACGAGAAUGGUCGUUUGCAAAUUCUUCAAAUUCAUACAAGCAAGAUGAGGGAGAGCUCUUUCCUUUCUCCAGAUGUUAAUCUUCAAGAGCUAGCUGCACGAACAAAGAACUACAGUGGAGCAGAGUUGGAAGGUGUUGUUAAAAGUGCAGUUUCAUUUGCUUUGAACCGGCAGAUAAGCAUGGAUGAUCUCACUAAACCUUUGGACGAGGAAAGCAUUAAGGUUACUAUGGAUGAUUUUGUGAAUGGACUUCAUGAAAUUACUCCCGCAUUUGGUGCUUCAACUGAUGACCUCGAAAGAUGCAGGUUACAUGGUAUUGUUGACUGUGGCAAGGCACACCAGCACAUUUUUCAGAGAGCUAUGCUUCUGGUGGAACAAGUUAAAGUUAGCAGAGGUAGCCCACUUGUGACCUGUCUAUUGCAAGGUUCUGCUGGAAGUGGUAAAUCAGCUUUGGCCGCUACUGUUGGUAUUGACAGUGAUUUUGCUUAUGUCAAAAUUAUAUCUGCGGAGACAAUGAUUGGUUUCAGUGAAAGCAGCAAGUGUGCACAGAUUUGCAAGGUUUUUGAGGAUGCUUACAAAUCUCAGUUCAGCAUCAUAAUUCUUGACGACAUUGAAAGGUUACUGGAGUUUGUUGCCAUCGGACCACGUUUUUCAAAUCUGAUAUCGCAAACUCUUAUGGUCCUCCUCAAGAGGGUUCCUCCUAAGGGCAAAAACUUGCUUGUUAUUGGAACAACAAGUGAGACAACAUUUCUAGACUCCAUUGGUAUGUCUGGUGUGUUCUCGGUGACCUACGAGGUUCCCAAACUGACAAAGGAGGAUGCUGCAAAGGUGUUGCGACAUUUGAAUGUGUUCGAUGAAGCAGAUGUUGAGACAGCAGCAGAAGCGCUGGACGAUAUGCCGAUCAAGAAGCUGUACACGCUUGUCGAGAUGGCUGCGCAGGGGCCACAAGGGGGAAGCGCAGAAGCCAUCUAUGCCGGAGAGGAAAAGAUAGACCUCAACCAUUUCUUUAGCAUCUUGAGCGACAUCAUCCGCUACUGA
rnacentral:rRNA from 1 species